CCGCCCGUCUCGGCCUCCCAGAGUUCUGGGAUUACAGGUAUGAGCCGCUGUACUUGGUCUAUUUUGAGUUAUUUUACCUCAGCACUUUAAAUAAAUCAUGCUAAUGUAUCUGGUAUUUAUUGUUAGUCCAGAAAUUAUUCCUUUGUAGGUGGUACAAAGGAUCAGCACGGGAGUUUUGACCUGCUCCGUUUCCAACCUGGGGUGGUUCACCCCUCCUUAGGCAACCUGGCGGUCCCCUGCUCCAGGGAGGUCACCCUCUUGAUUCUGAAUUUAGCGUGGACACCUCAUGGGCACCGUGCGCUGCAGCCCAGAGCUCCCGGGCUCAAGCCAUCUCCUGCCUCAGUCUCCAAGUAGCCAGGACCACAGGCAUGCGCCCUGAGGAAUAGAACAUGGUUUGGCUUCUACUAAGUACGCUUCCACAAGUACAUUUUAGCUUGUGGUCAUUCUCAGGUAAUGGGCGAUUUCAAUAUUAAAUAUUUCUUUGUUGUUGGAUAUUGGCGGGAUAUGUGGUGAGGGUGGUGACAGGGGAAGGCUGGGAGCAAAUGGUUGCUGAAGUCAACUGGUUAGUUGUUAACUCCUUCCAGAUGUCAGCCAACUAAAAUGAAUCUGAGUAUUUUUGAAACCAACAUUAGUAAACAAAAAGGUAACUUAUUCCUACCGAGGUUUUUUCAGCCUGUAUAAGUAUAUAGUCAUUUAUUUCUAAGGCUAUUAAAUUAUUAUUUAUUUUGUUAGUACCACUUACUAUUAUUUAGAAAUAUCUUUAAUGGAAUGAGUUUUAAAAAAUAAAAAUGAGUGCCCAUCAGUAAGGGAAAUAGAAGAUAUGAAUUUCUGAUAACAUGUAUGGCAAAGAAAUAGGAAAAAAAUAGGAGAUAUUUUAGAUACUUAUUUAUAAAGUAUAUUAAAUUCCUAUGCAUGUUCUAGGGAGAAUUAGAAAAAAUGUAUUUAUUUGAUAGUAGCCUAUAAUAUUACAUGUGAGCAUCCAAGGUGAAAAUGAACUUUUUCUAUAUUUUUCAGAGUUCCUUGAUGCUGUUUCCUGAAAGAUAGGGAAGUCUAUGUUGCUUGGGAACCUAUGAUGUAAAGAUGUACUUCCUGUAAUAUACAGCUUGAUGGAGUAAUAGUAUAUGGCAUAAACGCUCUCUCAGUAAUGACUUGUAUGGACAGAUUAAACAAUACAGACUUGGUAAAAAGUUUGAA